UAACUGAUAAGCAGGAGGAUAGGAGGAUUAUUAUGUCUCUGGUGCUAACGAACCAAUUAAGCUGUUAAGAGCAUCUACUGGGUGUGCUUCAAAGGCUGCCAGAAGUGAUGAAGAUUGUUGGAAGAAUAAACAACCCUCAGAGACCACCACCACAAUUUUGUACACAUGCGGGGAACUUUCUGGAAAAUAAUGUAAUCCAUACGUAGCCUCAUGAAUAUGUAUGUAUGCCCAGGAACUAUAUAAGGGCAGCUUGUGCAGCAAUAUGGGGACACAUGUUAGGAGGAGCUAUCCCCCGUGCCUACUGUCACCACAAUAAAGAAUACCUGCUUGUCAACUUGAAAA